rnacentral:rRNA from 1 species
AACGUAGGUACCGAGCGUUAUCCGGAUUUACUGAGCGUAAAGCGCGUUCAGGCGGUUUGGCAAGUCGGGCAUGAAAUCCUUCGGCUCAACCGAGAGAGGUUGUCCGAUACUGCCAGACUAGAGGGCAGUAGAGGGUGGUGGAAUUCCGGGUGUAGUGGUGAAAUGCGUAGAGAUCCGGAGGAACACCAGUGGCGAAAGCGGCCACCUGGACUGCACCUGACGCUGAAACGCGAAAGCUAGAAAAGCGAACGAG